UACGUAGGGACCAAGCGUUGUUCGGAUUUACUGGGCGUAAAGGGCGCGUAGGCGGCGCGGUAAGUCACUUGUGAAAUCUCUGAGCUUAACUCAGAACGGCCAAGUGAUACUGCAGUGCUAGAGUGCAGAAAGGGCAAUCGGAAUUCUUGGUGUAGCGGUGAAAUGCGUAGAUAUCAGGAGGAACACCGGUGGCGAAGGCGGUUCUCUGGGCAUGUCCUGACGCUGAGGAGCGAAAGUGUGGGGAGCGAACAGG
rnacentral:rRNA from 1 species